rnacentral:rRNA from 1 species
GACGAACGCUGGCGGCGUGCUUAACACAUGCAAGUCGAACGGCAAGGCCCUGCUUUUGUGGGGUGCUCGAGUGGCGAACGGGUGAGUAACACGUGAGUAACCUGCCCUUGACUUUGGGAUAACUUCAGGAAACUGGGGCUAAUACCGGAUAGGAGCUCCUGCUGCAUGGUGGGGGUUGGAAAGUUUCGGCGGUUGGGGAUGGACUCGCGGCUUAUCAGCUUGUUGGUGGGGUAGUGGCUUACCAAGGCUUUGACGGGUAGCCGGCCUGAGAGGGUGACCGGCCACAUUGGGACUGAGAUACGGCCCAGACUCCUACGGGAGGCAGCAGUGGGGAAUAUUGCACAAUGGGCGGAAGCCUGAUGCAGCAACGCCGCGGGCGGGAUGACGGCCUUCGGGUUGUAAACCGCUUUCGCCUGUGACGAAGCGUGAGUGACGGUAAUGGGUAAAGAAGCACCGGCUAACUACGUG